rnacentral:rRNA from 1 species
CCUACGGGAGGCAGCAGUGAGGAAUAUUGGUCAAUGGGCGUAAGCCUGAACCAGCCAAGCCGCGUGAGGGAUGAAGGUUCUAUGGAUCGUAAACCUCUUUUAUAAGGGAAUAAAGUGUGGGACGUGUCCUAUUUUGUAUGUACCUUAUGAAUAAGGAUCGGCUAACUCCGUGCCAGCAGCCGCGGUAAUACGGAGGAUCCGAGCGUUAUCCGGAUUUAUUGGGUUUAAAGGGUGCGUAGGCGGCCUUUUAAGUCAGCGGUGAAAGUCUGUGGCUCAACCACGGAAUUGCCGUUGAAACUGGGGGGCUAGAGUUUAGUUGCGGCAGGCGGAAUGCGUGGUGUAGCGGUGAAAUGCUUAGAGAUCACACAGAACCCCGAUUGCGAAGGCAGCCUGCCAAGCCAUGACUGACGCUGAUGCACGAAAGCGUGGGGAUCAAACAGGAUUAGAUACCCUAGUAGUC